UACGUAGGUGACCAGCGUUGUCCGGAUUUACUGGGCGUAAAGAGCGCGCAGGCGGUCGUUCAAGUCGAGUGUGAAAGCCCCCGGCUCAACUGGGGAGGGUCAUUCGAUACUGAUCGACUGGAAGGCAGGAGAGGGAAGCGGAAUUCCCGGUGUAGUGGUGAAAUGCGUAGAUAUCGGGAGGAACACCCGUAGCGAAGGCGGCACUCUGGGCCGAUACUGACACUGAGGAGCGAAAGCGUGGGGAGCGAACAGG
rnacentral:rRNA from 1 species